GUGUUCGUUGAACGGAGAGACGGUUGGCAUCUCCCCUGACAGGGACGGGAUAAGCCUUCGGGCUUACCUGUCAUCACACAUCGGUUAAGGCUUACCACUUCAGUGGAUCCGACCAAAUUUUUUU
rnacentral:ncRNA from 1 species